AGAGUUUGAUCAUGGCUCAGGAUAAACGCUGGCGGCGUGCCUAAUACAUGCAAGUCGAACGAGGAGCUUUUGUAGCAAUACGGAGGCUUCCUAGUGGCGAAUGGGUGAGUAACGCGUUGGUGACCUGCCCCGAAGUGAGGAAUAACAGUUCGAAAGGACUGCUAAUACCCCAUGUGGUUAUUGGAUUUAGAAACUAAUAUCUAAAGGAGCAAUCCGCUUCGGGAGGGACCUGCGUCCCAUCAGCUAGUUGGUAGGGUAACGGCCUACCAAGGCGACGACGGGUAGGGGGCCUGAGAGGGUGGCCCCCCACACUGGCACUGAAACACGGGCCAGACACCUACGGGUGGCAGCAGUAGGGAAUAUUGCACAAUGGGCGAAAGCCUGAUGCAGCAACGCCGCGUGCGCGAUGAAGGUCUUCGGAUCGUAAAGCGCUUUUUGAGGAGAUGAGGAAGGACAGUAUCCUUAGAAUAAGGAUCGGCUAACUACGUGCCAGCAGCCGCGGUAAAACGUAGGAUCCGAGCGUUAUCCGAAUUUACUGGGCGUAAAGCGCGUGCAGGCGGUUUGGUAAGUUGGAUGUGAAAGCUCCUGGCUCAACUGGGAGAGGCCGUUCAAAACUACCAGACUAGAGGACGGUAGAGGGAGGUGGAAUUCCCGGUGUAGUGGUGAAAUGCGUAGAUAUCGGGAGGAACACCAGUGGCGAAGGCGGCCUCCUGGACCGUUCCUGACGCUCAGACGCGAAAGCUAGGGGAGCGAACGGGAUUAGAAACCCCGGUAGUCCUAGCCGUAAACGAUGUAGACUUGGCGUCGGUGGGGUAAAAGCCAUCGGUGCCGAAGCUAACGCGUUAAGUCUACCGCCUGGGGACUACGGCCGCAAGGUUAAAACUCAAAGGAAUUGACGG
rnacentral:rRNA from 1 species